AUAUAUCUCCGUACGGGAAGGAUGAGAAGCUUCGACUAAGGUUCGAUUCGAGCGAAAGCGAGAAAGCGUUGCCGCAGGCAACGACCCGAAGGGCGAAGCGCGCAGCGCUGAGUCAUCCUUCCCCCACCACCA
rnacentral:sRNA from 1 species